rnacentral:rRNA from 1 species
AUCAGGUAAGAAUACCCGCCGAACUUAAGCAUAUCAAUAAGCGGAGGAAAAGAAAAUAACAAUGAUUCCCUCAGUAACGGCGAGCGAAGAGGGAUAAGCUCAAAUUUUAAAUCUGUUGGGUUCCACUUAACAGAGUUGUAUUUUGAAGAAACGUUUUCUGCAUCCAGGAUUAGCCUAAAUCCUUUGGGAUAAGGUAUCAUGGAGGGUGAGAAUCCCGUUCAUGGUUAAUCUUAAGGAAGCUCUACGAUACGUUUUCCAAGAGUCGAGUUGUUUGGGAUUGCAGCUCAAAAUGGGGGGUAAAUUUCUCCUAAGGCUAAAUAUUGGCGAGAGACCGAUAGCGAACAAGUACCGUGAGGGAAAGAUGAAAAGAACUUUGAAAAGAGAGUUAAACAGUACGUGAAAUUGUUGAAAGGGAAACGAUUGAAGUCAGUCAUACCAACGGGAAAUCAACCUUUUGAGCUUGGUCUCGUGGGUUUUGAAGAGUUUCAAAGCCUUCGGAUUCGCGGGAUUGGGAUCUCUCGGUGUACUUUUUCGUACGGUUAGUCAACAUCGGUUUUGAAUGUCAUAAAAUGACUGGAGGAAUGUAGCUUCGAUCUCGUAUUGAAGUGUUAUAGCCUUUGGUAGAUGUGAUGUUUGAGACCGAGGAUUGCAACGGAUACCCUUCAGGGCUAUUCGUCUGAUCUCUGAUACGUUGCCUUGAUGUUGAAAGCUUGCUUAUGAUGUUAGGGUAUUACGGUCAAAAGGUUAGAACGAAUUACGUUCGUUAAGGAUGUUGACGUAAUGACUUUAAACGACCCGUCUUGAAACACGGACCAAGGAGUCUAACAUAUAUGCGAGUGUU